UACGUAGGGUGCGAGCGUUAAUCGGAAUUACUGGGCGUAAAGCGUGCGCAGGCGGUUCGUUGUGUCGGCGGUGAAAGCCCCGGGCUUAACCUGGGAAUGGCCGUCGAAACUGGCGAACUGGAGUGUGGCAGAGGGGGGUGGAAUUCCGCGUGUAGCAGUGAAAUGCGUAGAGAUGCGGAGGAACACCGAUGGCGAAGGCAGCUUCUUGGUCCAUUCCUGACGUUGAGGCGCGAAAGCGUGGGGAGCAAACAGG
rnacentral:rRNA from 1 species